UCCUAUUACAGAAAGACUAUAACAAGUUUUGCUACAACAAUUGUCGCCAUAUUGGCACUUAAAUAAAAUAUAGUGGGGAAAAUUGAUAUAAAUAGCCGUUUAGAUCACUAGUAAUCCAUAAAGUAAUUGAUCAAAGUAUCGAUAGCUUCUGAAUAAAUUAUAGCAAAGGCUUUACUCAACUACUAUACGAGAUGUUUAACAUGAAGAUAUUUUUGUUGGCAGUUUUGGUAGUGGCUUUGUUUGCUGCCGGAAGCUAUGCAUGCACAUCAGAAGGCAGCUUUUGCGCAGUUGACUCGGUUUGUUGCAGCGGUAGAUGUAAAAGACUUACGAGCACAUGUGAAGGAUAAUAAUCUCUAUUCUAAAAAUGAAUUAGUGAAAAUCACCUGACAAUCACUAUUGAAAUAAAUUUUAUUUAAAAAGAAAA